rnacentral:rRNA from 1 species
UACCAGCACCCCGAGUGGUCGGGGCGAUUAUUGGGCCUAAAGCAUCCGUAGCCGGUUUUACAAGUCCUCCGUUAAAUCCAGCUGCUUAACAGAUGGGCUGCGGAGGAUACUAUAAGACUAGGAGGCAGGAGAGGCAAGCGGUACUCAGUGGGUAGGGGUAAAAUCCGUUGAUCCAAUGAAGACCACCAGUGGCGAAGGCGGCUUGCCAGAAUGCGCUCGACGGUGAGGGAUGAAAGCUGGGGGAGCAAACCGG